rnacentral:rRNA from 1 species
AUUGAACGCUGGCGGCAUGCCUUACACGUGCAAGUCGAACGGCAGCACGGGAGCAAUCCUGGUGGCGAGUGGCGAACGGGUGAGUAAUAUAUCGGAACGUGCCCAGUCGUGGGGGAUAACGUAGCGAAAGCUACGCUAAUACCGCAUACGAUCUAUGGAUGAAAGCGGGGGAUCGCAAGACCUCGCGCGAUUGGAGCGGCCGAUAUCAGAUUAGGUAGUUGGUGAGGUAAAGGCUCACCAAGCCGACGAUCUGUAGCUGGUCUGAGAGGACGACCAGCCACACUGGGACUGAGACACGGCCCAGACUCCUACGGGAGGCAGCAGUGGGGAAUUUUGGACAAUGGGCGCAAGCCUGAUCCAGCAAUGCCGCGUGCAGGAUGAAGGCCUUCGGGUUGUAAACUGCUUUUGUACGGAACGAAACGGCGAGCUCUAAUACAGUUUGCUAAUGACGGUACCGUAAGAAUAAGCACCGGCUAACUCUGUGCCAGCCGCCGCAGUAA